rnacentral:rRNA from 1 species
UGGCGCACGGGUGAGUAACACGUAGGUAACUUGCCCUUAAGAGGGGAACAACUCAGGGAAACUUGAGCUAAUACCCCAUAAGACCACGAACUGAAAUGUUUGUGGUAAAAGGAGUAAUCCGCUUAAGGAUGGGCCUGCGGCCUAUCAGGUAGUUGGUGAGGUAACGGCCCACCAAGCCUAAGACGGGUAGCCGGACUGAGAGGUCGAACGGCCACACUGGAACUGAGACACGGUCCAGACUCCUACGGGGGGCAGCAGUGGGGAAUUUUGCACAAUGGGCGAAAGCCUGAUGCAGCGACGCCCCGUGGAGGAUGAAGGCCUUCGGGUUGUAAACUCCUUUUGCAGGGGAAAAUAAUGAUGGUACCCUGCGAAUAAGCCACGGCUAACUCUGUGCCAGCAGCCGCGGUAAGACAGAGGUGGCAAGCGUUGUUCGGAAUUACUGGGCUUAAAGGGCGCGUAGGCGGUGAGAUAAGUCUGAGGUGAAAUCCUAUGGCUUAACCAUAGAACUGCCUUGGAAACUGUUUUACUUGAGUCAGCGAGGGGAUGGUGGAAUUCCCGGUGUAGCAGUGAAAUGCGUAGAUAUCGGGAGGAAGGCCGGUGGCGAAGGCGGCCAUCUGGCGCUGAACUGACGCUGAGGCGCGAAAGCGUGGGUAGCAAACAGGAUUAGAUACCCUGGUAGUCCACGCCCUAAACGGUGGGUAUUAGGUGUAGGGCUCGUAAGGGUUCUGUGCCGUAGGGAACCAUUAAAUACCCCGCCUGGGGAGUACGGCCGCAAGGUUGAAACUCAAGAAAUUGACGGGGGCCCGCACAAGCGGUGGAGCAUGUGGUUUAAUUCG